GAUCACAGGCGAAGAAGGACGUAAUAGCUUGCGAAAAGCUGCGGGGAGUUGGCAAAUGAGCAUUGAUCCGCAGAUAUCCGAAUGGGGAAACCCACCUCUUUUUAGGAGGUAUCCUUAUCUGAAUACAUAGGGUGAGGAGGCGAACCGAGUGAACUGAAACAUCUAAGUAACUCGAGGAGAAGAAAUCAACCGAGAUUCUGAAAGUAGUGGCGAACGAAAUUGGAUGAGCCGCAACGAGAUAGUAAUUGUAGUAGUCGAACUUACUGGGAAGUAAGACCGUAGAGGGUGAUAGUCCUGUAGACGAAACUAUAGUUAUGGUACUAGGCGUUGCAACAAGUAGGGCGGGACACGUGUAAUCCUGUUCGAAGAUGGGGGGACCAUCCUCCAAGGCUAAAUACUCGUGAUCGACCGAUAGUGAACCAGUACCGUGAGGGAAAGGCGAAAAGAACCCCGGGAGGGGAGUGAAAUAGAACCUGAAACCGUGUGCAUACAAACAGUCGGAGCCCUAGACUUAAGGGUCCUGCAAUUUAGGGGUUCUUUGUGAUGCCUUAAGGCAUCACUAAAGAUAUUUCUAAGUAAAUAGCAAGCGAUAUAUUUAAUAAGGAAAAUAAAAGAAGUGAGAAAUGCCUUAAGGCAUCACUAAAGAUAUUCCAAAGUAAAUAGAAAGCGAUGUAAUUUACAAAUUUAGUAGGGUCUUUAAGUCUAGGGUGACGGCGUACCUUUUGUAUAAUGGGUCAGCGACUUACAUUCAGUGGCAAGCUUAACCGGAUAGGGUAGGCGUAGCGAAAGCGAGUCCGAAUAGGGCGUCUAUAGUCGCUGGGUGUAGACCCGAAACCAGAUGAUCUAUCCAUGGCCAGGUUGAAGGUGCCGUAACAGGUACUGGAGGACCCAACCCACUAAUGUUGAAAAAUUAGGGGAUGAGCUGUGGAUAGGGGUGAAAGGCUAAACAAAUCUGGAAAUAGCUGGUUCUCUCCGAAAACUAUUUAGGUAGUGCCUCAUGAAUAACUGUUGGGGGUAGAGCACUGUUAUGGCUAGGGGGUCAUGGCGACUUACCAAACCAUGGCAAACUCCGAAUACUGACAAGUUCGAUCAUGGGAGACAGAGCACUGGGUGCUAACGUCCAGACUCAAGAGGGAAACAACCCAGACCGCCAGCUAAGGUCCCUAAAAUUGGCUAAGUGGGAAACGAAGUGGGAAGGCAUAGACAGUCAGGAGGUUGGCUUAGAAGCAGCCACCCUUUAAAGAAAGCGUAAUAGCUCACUGAUCGAGUCGUCCUGCGCGGAAGAUGUAACGGGGCUAAGCCAGUUACCGAAGCUGCGGAUGC
rnacentral:rRNA from 1 species